rnacentral:rRNA from 1 species
CGACGCAKSAGSUCGAGCGGACASAGGGGAGCUUGCUCCCUGAUGUUAGCGGCGGACGGGUGAGUAACACGUGGGUAACCUGCCUGUAAGACUGGGAUAACUCCGGGAAACCGGGGCUAAUACCGGAUGGUUGUYUGAACCGCAUGGUUCAGACAUAAAAGGUGGCUUCGGCUACCACUUACAGAUGGACCCGCGGCGCAUUAGCUAGUUGGUGAGGUAACGGCUCACCAAGGCGACGAUGCGUAGCCGACCUGAGAGGGUGAUCGGCCACACUGGGACUGAGACACGGCCCAGACUCCUACGGGAGGCAGCAGUAGGGAAUCUUCCGCAAUGGACGAAAGUCUGACGGAGCAACGCCGCGUGAGUGAUGAAGGUUUUCGGAUCGUAAAGCUCUGUUGUUAGGGAAGAACAAGUGCCGUUCAAAUAGGGCGGCACCUUGACGGUACCUAACCAGAAAGCCACGGCUAACUACGUGCCAGCAGCCGCGGUAAUACGUAGGUGGCAAGCGUUGUCCGGAAUUAUUGGGCGUAAAGGGCUCGCAGGCGGUUUCUUAAGUCUGAUGUGAAAGCCCCCGGCUCAACCCGGGGAGGGUCAUUGGAAACUGGGGAACUUGAGUGCAGAAGAGGAGAGUGGAAUUCCACGGUGUAGCGGUGAAAUGCCGUAGAGAAUGUGGAGGAACACCAGUGGCGAAGGCGACUCUCUGGUCUGUAACUGACGCUGAGGAGCGAAAGCGUGGGGAGCGAACAGGAUUAGAUACCCUGGUAGUCCACGCCGUAAACGAUGAGUGCUAAGUGUUAAGGGGGUUUCCGCCCCUUAGUGCUGCAGCUAACGCAUUAAGCACUCCGCCUGGGGAGUACGGUCGCAAGACUGAAACUCAAAGGAAUUGACGGGGGCCCGCACAAGCGGUGGAACAUGUGGUUUAAUUCGAAGCAACGCGAAGACCUUACCAGGUCUUGACAUCCUCUGACAAUCCUAGAAAUAGGACGUCCCCUUCGGGGGAAAGUGACAGGUGGUGCAUGGUUGUCGUCACCU